UGGCGGCGAGUGGCGAACGGGUGAGUAAUAUAUCGGAACGUACCCAGAAGUGGGGGAUAACGUAGCGAAAGUUACGCUAAUACCGCAUACGAUCUACGGAUGAAAGUGGGGGACCUUCGGGCCUCAUGCUUUUGGAGCGGCCGAUAUCUGAUUAGCUAGUUGGUAGGGUAAAGGCCUACCAAGGCGACGAUCAGUAGCUGGUCUGAGAGGACGACCAGCCACACUGGAACUGAGACACGGUCCAGACUCCUACGGGAGGCAGCAGUGGGGAAUUUUGGACAAUGGGCGCAAGCCUGAUCCAGCAAUGCCGCGUGAGUGAAGAAGGCCUUCGGGUUGUAAAGCUCUUUUGUCAGGGAAGAAACGGCUGAGGAUAAUACCUUCGGCUAAUGACGGUACCUGAAGAAUAAGCACCGGCUAACUACGUGCCAGCAGCCGCGGUAAUACGUAGGGUGCAAGCGUUAAUCGGAAUUACUGGGCGUAAAGCGUGCGCAGGCGGUUUUGUAAGUCUGACGUGAAAGCCCCGGGCUCAACCUGGGAAUUGCGUUGGAGACUGCAAGGCUUGAAUCUGGCAGAGGGGGGUAGAAUUCCACGUGUAGCAGUGAAAUGCGUAGAGAUGUGGAGGAACACCGAUGGCGAAGGCAGCCCCCUGGGUCAAGAUUGACGCUCAUGCACGAAAGCGUGGGGAGCAAACAGGAUUAGAUACCCUGGUAGUCCACGCCCUAAACGAUGUCUACUAGUUGUCGGGUUUUAAUUAACUUGGUAACGCAGCUAACGCGUGAAGUAGACCGCCUGGGGAGUACGGUCGCAAGAUUAAAACUCAAAGGAAUUGACGGGGACCCGCACAAGCGGUGGAUGAUGUGGAUUAAUUCGAUGCAACGCGAAAAACCUUACCUACCCUUGACAUGGAAGGAAUCCUGGAGAGAUCUGGGAGUGCCCGAAAGGGAACCUUCACACAGGUGCUGCAUGGCUGUCGUCACCUCCGGUCGUGAGAUGUUGGGU
rnacentral:rRNA from 1 species